CCCUUAACAACUCCACAACAACAACAAAACAUGGCCGAGGCUCUACCAUGCGACUUCGACUCUUGGCUCAAAAACACUCUAGUUAUUUUAAAUACAGAUGACGAAGUCUUCAGUCCCUACAUCAAAGGCAUAUUAGAAGGUGAUGAAACGACCGAGGAGAAGCUUGAAGCCUUACAAGGAAUAUUAACGGAAAUAACGGAGAAUGGAAUAGAUGACUUAUGUCAAGACAUUCUCAAGAAGUGGAAUUUGAGAGAAGUCGAUGGGCAUACCGAUGAGCCUCCUGUUAGGGUUGGCAUGGAUGAAAAAUUAGCAAAAAUCAUGGAGGAGCAGGCCCAAUGUGUGGUGACUGUCAAGACACGAUCAAAGGAGGAGGAGAAUCUCAAGAGUGCUAUACUGGCACAAUAUGCACAAGUGUCUGACGGAGAAGUUACUGAUAGUGAUCAGGAAGAGUUAGAGACUAGUGGAGGUAUUAGCACUAAGAACACCAAUGCAGAGGAGGUGUUUAAAGCAGAGAGGGAGAAGAGAGAGAGGGACAAAGAAGAGGCACAGCGCAAGAGAGAAAAGGACAAAGAAGACAGAGCUAAGCAGAAGUCUAAAGAUGAUGAGAGGAAGGAGAAAGAGAAGAAACGAACCCAAAAGGGAGAACGCAGACGGUGAUCGCCUCCACUAUUAGUUAUUAGUCAUUAUUUAAAUAAGUUUCAGCUAGCAAAUACAGAUAUUCAUAAUAUAUUGUAAACUGGAACAGAUUGCUCUGUAGUUAAAUGAGUGACGUUCUAAAGAAUAGAAGUUGGAGCAGUGAGAGGUAGUAGGUUGGUAGAUGGCAACCAUCGAGAGAGGCACUACCGUAUUGUCAUACCAGUAUGAAAUGGAAACUUGUACUGUAUAACAUUUUCCUCUCUGGCAGGCUUGCUGGACUUUUCUGCCUCAUGAAUGCAUAAGGUGACAAACUUUUUCUUAGUAUACACUUGCCUUUACUUUCCUAUGUAUUUUUUAAUGCUGCUGUUCUUAAUUUUGUAAUAUUUCCUUUCCAAUUUUGGGGGCCUGGUAUAAUACCAGCCUGUGGGGGGGCGAUGAUUCCUGGAAGCAUUAAUGUAUAUUUGGGUUCAGUGCUAUGGAAGAGUAGUUAACUAUUGAAGUGUGGGUUUGAUCUAAUAUGAAGUGGGAGCUACCACAGCUGUUUGUUUGGACUAGACGUUGUCUCAGGAACGGUUGGAGGGAGAGGGAAAAGUUAUCUUUGAGUUUUAGGGGCUUGAGCAUCAAGCAGGCUUGUGUGAACAUUAGAUAAAGAGUGAAUAAACGUUUUAAUGUAUGGGCUGUUGGACUGAGAGAAAGGUAACUUUUAUGAAGAGAUUCGGGGAAAACUGAUUAAGUCAGAACACUUCUGGCAAGACAGCGAUUGAAUGAAUGCAUUUGAAUUUUUUUUUUUUUUUUUUGGGGGGGGGGGUUACUCUUUCAUAGCAGGAGACAGCUAUUGGGUUCAAAAACAAAUGAAAAUUAGUAAUGAUGUCUUAAGUUUUUGUUAAGGCAUUGAAUAACCAAAUGGUUAGUGCUUUGUAAGUCAUACAACUCAACCCUCAGAUGAGCAAUUGCUCUUUUCAGACUUAUAAUGGUUUUCACCCAGCUUUUGCCUACUUAGCAGUGUCAGUAAUCUGCGUUCUUGACUAAUACAGUAAUAUAGUAGUUUCGGUAAAAACCACACCUGACCUUGAACCAUCUUCAGAAUGUCAUUGGUGUUUGUGGGAGUGUGCAUGAGAGAACUGGUUUGAAGCAGUAAUAUUAGGCAGUGAAUCCAAGAUAACAUAUUUUUAGCAGCAAUGUUGAAACAUCAAGAUUAGGCAUUUAACCCAAAGCUUCAGUAGGCAGGUAACUUGAACUUAGUUGGGUGAACCCAAUGCUUUGGAAUCACAGUUUCAUGUUCGCUUGAGGGGAGAAGUGAACAAAUUGCUGCAGUUUCAGGUGAAUUGUUUCUAAUUUAGUUUCAAAGUUAAGAUGUUUUAUUGUAGUUGUAAAUAAAGAGUUGUGGAUCUCUUGGAGUAGCAAGGUGAGAAUUCAUCACUUGAUAAAGGGAAGCUAAUAAGUGAUCGAUAGUUUAGCAUGGACCCAGAAGCCUUGGCGAGUGUGGGGUCAGCUAUCACUGAUCCAGCAUGUAAAAGUUCAUUAUGCCUUGUUCUCUUACAAAACUGCAUUGCUCUAGACCUUUCAGCAGUUCACCUGUCAGCCAAAUUAACCUAUAAAUAGAGAUGCUAGCCAAAAUUAGUGAUGGCUGACCUGUAUAUAUAUACACUAGUGACACUGAGAAUAGCGAGCUAAUGAUCAUCAUAGUGGAACAGUUUAGUAGCACCAUAGUAGAACAAUGUGUUGGCAUCAUAGUGGAAAGAUGUAUAAACACCAUAGUUGAGAUGUAUUGCUGCCAUUGGAUAGAUGUCACAAUAAGGUUUGCUGUGAUCUUUGCCUAAGGGGAUAUGAACACUAGUAAUGCAAGUUUAACACUCGUACAGUACCAACCACAGUAUAGUGGUACCUCGAGUUACGAACUUAAUUCAUUCCAGAAGGCUGUUCGAGUGCCAAUACCAAACUAAUUUGUCCCAAUUAGGAAUAAUGUAAAUUAGAUUAGUCCAUUGCAGACCCCCAAACAUACACUUGUUCGCGUUGGGAGCUGUUCGAAACUCGAGGUACCACCGUACUAUGGUACAGUUGUCAAAACAUUUAGUCUUAUAAAUUCCAUAGGAUAGUGCAAAACCCAUAGGAAACAUUUGGUGCCUGAGGAAUGGGGGACAGGGUAAUCAGGUUUGAUCUGAGGAAAGGAAGAGUAGUUCAAAGCCCUCUGUUGAAAUCUUAGGAAUCUGUCAUGGUUACCUUUGCUGGCCCCUUCAAAGGGUUUACUUCGAUGUUGGUGAAAGGCUUUGGAUUCAAGGAAUGGUUGAGUAAAACCUGUCUAGCACGGGAUAAUAGGCCUACUGCAGUGCUGCUCUAAUGAAAUUGGAUCCACACUUGUAUCAGACCUGGUUGCCUUACAUUCCCUCAGGCACUGUAUUACCUGUGUGGGUUUAGUUCUCUUCCAUGUAGUAAUAGUUUUAGAAAAAUCAGUAUUAUCAUUGUUGUUAUCAACCCCAAAUCCUUAUAAGUUUAGAGUUAUCCCAUGAACAUACCAUUGCUGGUACUAAAUUGGUAGCCACUCCCAUCUCUGCAAACUGACAAGAGUAACACUUUUUCUUAACUGGUCUGACACAAGUAGCUAUUGUUGAAACAAAUCUUUCAGACACAAAUAUGGGUUUAGUACUCUGAGUAUAACACAAAAAUAGUAGUAAUCUUGCACAAAAUGACACUUUUUAAACUUAAUGCAGAUAAAAAGUAUUUAACUUAUUUCCUGUCUGUCUCGAGAAAUAAAGUUUUUA